UUGGUUAAAUGAAAUGUUGAAAUGGAGGGAACGAUACAUCAUAUAGUUGUUUGUAUUUUGAGCCUGUGUGAAGCCAUCUUUCUUGGAGACUUGGAGGCAACUUUUCAACUAUGGGCUUAACACCACGGGGUGUGUCGAGGUAAGCAAGACCAGGGAGAUAAGCCUCAUCUUAAGCAACUUGUAGCUCUAAGAGCAGAUCUCCGAGCUCCCUGAGUUUUACGUUG